CGGGGAAUCCUUUCCCGUGAAGAUUUCUCUUUUUGGGUUGCUGUGCUUGGCGUUCUUCCGAUCAUCUUACUUCGCCAAUUUUUUCAAAAUUGCGCCCGGUACUAAAGUGGCUGCACAACUGGGACUACGAAAAAGAAGAGAGCGAAAACAAGAAGCAUCACAGCGUGAUCGUCACAGUACCUCUUCCGAAGUCGAAAAAUUCCCUACGAAGAUGAGAAAUAUGGAAUGGCUGCUGAGUAUGAGAAGAAAGCAGAACCUUGGAGGAUAAAGCACUAGAUCCAACAGAUUUUCCCUCCCGGUAUUGUACCCUACAACUACAGUAUGAAAAAUUUGAACGUAAAGAAUGCCAGUGUACUUACGGAGGGGUCCUCUCCCAUAACUUUAGAAUGUUAAAUCAUUAUAAGAUCAUUUGAUUUCACAGGAUAGAAAAUUACUCCAGAUUUUCCGAUGGAGACGUGAUUAACUAAAGGUGAGAAAACAAAAUCUUUCUAUCUUUUCG